GACGAACCGUGCGAACGUUGUUCGGAAUCACUGGGCUUAAAGGGCGCGUAGGCGGGUUCGCAAGUCAGGGGUGAAAUCUUUCAGCUUAACUGGAAAACAGCCCCUGAUACUGCGAGUCUCGAGGGAGGUAGGGGCAUGUGGAACUUCCGGUGGAGCGGUGAAAUGCGCAGAUAUCAGGAGGAACACCGGUGGCGAAGGCGGGUCUCUGGGCCGUAACUGACGCUGAGGAGCGAAAGCGUGGGGAGCGAACAGG
rnacentral:rRNA from 1 species